ACUCAAGACACAUCUGAGCUUACAGGCAUCUAGUACAGCAUCAACUGUGCCUGUUAAACUUUCUUUUGUCUUUCAACAGUUCUUCACAGUACUCCAAGUCAUUUUUCAUACUUUUCUCUUUUUGUGCUGCCUCUUCCAAUGAGCAAAUAUAAUCUUCCAAAGCUUCAGUUGACAUUUCGUUAUAAGCCUUUGAAUAUUUCAGCUCUUGUUGGAUGUAUUCAAAUUCUAUCCCAUUUUUCUUGACUUUUGAAGCAUUUUUGGCAAGGCUGGUUUUAGUUUGAGCAUGGGCACUCUUUUAUCUCCUGUUAAGGCUGAAAUAUUUUCCACUCAUAUUUGGCUUAAGAGUUUCCAAUUUCUGUCUCUUUACAACAAAUUCAUCAGUGGCUCUUUUUAAUUUUCUUUUUAAAUGGUAAUGUUCCCUUUCUAGAGAUAUCAUUUUUCUUUCUUGUUUUGAAUUUGUGUUUUUAGUUUGCUUACUUCAUCCUUCAGGCUAUUAACUUCAUGUCCAAGGCCUUGCAAUGCCAUAAAUCUGACCUCGUUCUCUCAGGAGUUUGUACUGGCACAAUGAAAUGCUCAGCUAUUUAUUUUCCUUAACUUGUCCUUUCUUCUUUUUAUCUUCUUGCUGUAUUCGUUGAAACGUACUCAUUAAUACAUUAAAAUUAAGCUGUUGGGGAACAUUAAAAACCUAUCCAACCGACGUAGCAAACAUUUGACUGUUUCCGGGGGCAAUUUGUGAAUUUCAAAUACUAACAAAUUUGUUUGAAAUUUAGUCGGAGCUACACUCACAUCAAGCUGUGCUUUCAUGCUGUCAUUAAGUUGCAACUGUUCAAGUAAUGGGAACGUUUUCAAACUUCACUGCUUAUUUUCCAAACUUUAUUUUCAUUUUCAGUGCUACGUUUCUGGAUCUUGAUCUCAGCAAUGAAAAGGAACCUGAUCCACAACUACUACUAGAACUGCUGAAUUGAAAAAAGUGAUGCAAUGUUUCUCUCGAAGAAAUGUUUCUCUCACAAGGUUCACACUCAAAAUGAUCAUGAAGCCACUGUGCAACCUUAUUAUUUUCUGACAAACAAUGAGCAUAAGUUGAUGUUACAGAUUCACAAUCUCUCAAUUUUCUAAAACCAGACAUUCAGCCAUUGCCUGUUGGCAAACAUGGAUGAGCUGAAUGAACUCUUAGCAGUUUUUUCCAAAAUCGAGCAACUGAGAUAGCACUGAAGCUGAGGAGGAAGCCUUCAGCUGGGCUCUUUACAAGCCACUGACAAGUACAUGGUGACCCAUGUAAAAGAAUGGCUUCGAGUUCCAGGAGCAAGGCUUAGAAAUGGCAUAAGGAAAACGCGUACUGGAAAAAACAGGUGCAGAUAGAGAAUCUGCAAACAAAACAGCUGAAUUGCAACGGAACAAAGAAAUCCAAAAAGUUGGUUUUGACAACAUAUUUUUCACAGGGUUAUGUCCCUUGUUUUUGAACUUGGUACAUAUACUCCCAGGUUCUCUUGGACACUACUGAAGUUAAUAAAUGAAACUGUCCGUGCUAACUAAGGUACAAACUCCAAAAGAUGGUUUUAAGAACUUAAUUUGUAUGGAGUUAUGACCCUUUGCUUCAUGCUUUUUUAACUUGAUGGAAUGGGGGGGAAAAGUUUGUCUCGUAAACGAAUUUGAAGCCACAUAAAUGAAAUUUUGCAGGCCAAUAUGAGGGGUAUAUGUUUAGACUCAGUUUUAAAACUUGAUUU